GACAGGAGGCUUCUUUAGACCUGACAGGGUGCGGGUUAUUUUGUCCCUCACCUUUCCUGCUCAGGGACCUGUCCUCCUCCGUCUCGUUCCAUGCCUUCUCUCCUCCUCUUAAAGGAUGCUAAUCACAUUCAAGCCAAAAGAUUAGAGACUUUUCUGUGUCCUUCGUCAGGAAUGCUUGGAUUUGUUAGGAAGGGAACUGGAUACAACUUCAUGAGAUAUAAGGGUGUAAUUUCAGACAUGUGCGUUUCUUUCUAGGAUUAUUUAAAUUACACCUCAACUCACAAUCGGCUCAUGCCUUACAACCAUCUGUGGCUAAGAGGCAAGUCGGACUUCCUGGUAAACCCUCUUCUCUUAGGUGAAGCAUGGAGCUGUGACCUUAUUAACCUGAACAGCAAUUGGGAGCCUCAAAAUAGAAAAAGCAAAAACUCAGGAAAGUUUAUUUAUUUAUUGUUAAGACAGAGUCUCACUCCAUCACCCAGUCUGGAGUGCAGUGGCGUAAUCUCGGCUCACUGCAACCUCCGCUUCCCGGGUUCAAGUGAUUCUCAUGCCUCAGCCUCCCGAGUAGCUGGGAUUACAAGAGCCCACCACCACGCCUGGCUAGUUUUUUUUUUUUUUUUUGGUAUUUUUAGUAGAGACAGGGUUUCGCCAUGUUAGCCAGGCUGAUCUCGAACUCCUGGCCUCAGGUGAUCUGCCCGCCUCAGCCUCCCAAAGUGCUGGGAUUACAGGCAUGAGCCACCAUGCCUGGCCAGAAACUUCUUUAAUCAACAUUGAUUUUCCAGGAAUAGAAGUUGUAUAAUAGAGAAAGCAGCACCUGAGUAGGGCCUUAGAGUCUAGAAGGUGCUUUCAGUUACAGGCUUGGGAGACACCCAUUACUCAUAUGGUCUUCGAUAGGCUGGAAGAGACUUGAGCUUGCAAGUGAAAUAAGCCAGAGAAUUUUGAAGAUAUAAAAAGGCGCAUCUCAAUUCCGUGUGGCGGGCAAAAAAUAAAGGAGCAGAUUGUGACAGACCAUUCCCAUCGGCCAUGCGGGCGAACCCAACGUCCUUUUACAUUGAAGAACCCAACGGGGCCUUUUACAUUGCGGAUGAUGGACCGGCUCGUGACGUCCAUGAAUUUCACGCGCACCUGUGUGCACUGUCCCUGAGAGCCGGUCCUGCCCAGGACCUUGGUGACCCUGGCCAGCUUGAUAGGCUGCACACGGCUGGUGUUCAUGAUGGCGGCGCAGCGACGAUGUGGCG